rnacentral:lncRNA from 1 species
CUCAUCCCCACCCUCUUCCCCAUCCUCACCCCCUCCCUCCUUACACUCCUCAUCCAAUCUAUCACUCUCCAUCACCACCACCACCUUACAAGAAGCCUUACAAGUACAAGUCCCCUCCACCACCUCCACACUACAUCUACGCAUCACCUCCACCUCCUUACCACUCUUAGACAGUGGUCAACUAGCAUAGUUCUAUGGUAACCUUCUUCAUACCUACGUACAUGCUACAUUAUUAUAAUUUCUCAUUAAUGGUUCCGCAUUUUUUUACAUCUAUACUUGUUCCCAAAAAAUGAAUACCAAACCCUCGUGAUCCCUGUCAAGGUUUUUAACUUGAUACGGAAAAUGAUUUUUCUGGUUUGGUUUUAUAGGGACCACGUACCCCUCACUGAAAUUGACAGACACUAUAAUAAUAUGUGCAUGUGUUCUAAUGUUUUGUA